rnacentral:lncRNA from 1 species
GUUCCUUUCCCCCUUUUCAUUGUCACUGUCUGCUGGUAUUAAAGGCUCAGGUGUUUUACGUUCUGAUUUUGGAGAAUAUGUUAUUGAAGAAAGAAGGUCAUCUAUUUGACAGACACAUGUUUCCAUCUCUUUCAGUGCAGUUUGUAAUUUGAACAGCAAUUUCUGGUAGACAUCUUGUGUUUCUAAAUCUUCUUCUUUUAAGAGGUACCUCAGACCAUGACCCUCUUGCUGGCUGAGAGACUGUCCUGAAGGAGGCAGCCAUUGUAGUAAUGCUAUGUUGAACAUAAAUCAUAGGAUUCAGUUUACCUUGGUCAGUGUUUUUAUUUCCUUUUUCAUGUGAAGAAUGUUUUCUGCUGUCUAACU